GCCGACUCCCAAUUCUGCCGACAUAGCGAGAGAGAGAGGGGGAGAGAAAGGGAGGAGGAGGUCACGGCUAAGGGGAGGGAGGAAGGAGAGGUCCGGUUUCGACGAUCCAACUCGGUGACAAGUAACGAGCCGGUCUUUUAGGAGGUGCCGAAACCGUAAGUUUGGCAUACUCCAGUCGAAUGAAAGGUGAGUGUGUCUGAUAUGGUUCUUCUCAAUAAGAUAUUGCUAUGGUGGUAGCAGGUGGCUUAGAGUGGGUCCACUACUGGUCAACGCUUUGGAGAGUGCUAGACUAGCGUCGGGUGAUGUCUUUGGUUAGAUUGUUGCGUAGCUGAUUCGUCUAGAAGCUAACCUAAAUGUUAUGUAAUUAAUUGGAGAGAGGGAUAUUUAUUAUAACUUGAGAGUUAAAAUCGCACAUCCAGCAAACAGCCAGUAUUCAAAAAUUCAUAACUAAUUGUGUGAUUAUUGGUUUUGCAUGAUCUUGGUACCGAAA